UGGGUCAUCUGCUGAUCUCCAUGAGGUUAGGGACCAGUCCAAACCAUUUUUCCAAUUCAGCCCGAAUUUCAUUCCUCUUAUUAUGGUAUCAGUCGGAUAAUCAAAACUUUGCCACACAAUUCUUUUGCUUCUACCCUGGAUCAAAACCAAAUUCCCUGAAUCCAACAGCUGAGCCGUACAAGUCUCAGUUGCUUUUACUGAAACAUUGGUAGACCAUACUCGAACUUUCUGUUCAUGAUCACCAUAGAGAAGGAGAUUUCCAUGUUGGUUAAUUGAGAGAACGCCUGAGAAGCCAUGGAUUGGAUUAUUCCUAUUUGCUACCCACACCACAGU
rnacentral:misc_RNA from 1 species